AAGUCGUAACAAGGUCUCCGUAGGUGAACCUGCGGAGGGAUCAUCAGAGAUAUUAUAUUUGGGCUCUGCCCGCAAACAACAAACACACAUGUCAAAGAAGCGGGGGUUGGGUGAUUUGGCUGGCUGGUUGGUUGACUUGGCUGAUUUGGUGGCUGGCACCCCCAAGAAAAGAAACACACUGCCUGAUAUAACUGACUUGGUGGUCGCUGACUUGGUAAAACGAAACAACUUUCAACAACGGAUCUCUUGGCUCUCA
rnacentral:misc_RNA from 1 species